rnacentral:misc_RNA from 1 species
CCUGAUAAGGAGGACAGUAACACCAACAGAAGCCUUUGAUCCAUUGAAACGGUGUUUCCUGUGUAGCACAUUAGUCACCAGCCCCCUCAGACACAUGUGAUGCACAUGACUAUUGGCCUGCAUGUUGUAUCAACAGGGACUGUCCGUAUAGAAGGCUGGGCUGUAAGUACAUGCUGUAUUGUAAGUAUAGAAGGCUGUGCAGAAAGUAUAUGCUGUACUGUAAGUAUAUGCUGGAACUGUAAGUAUAUGCUGUACUAUAAGUAUAUGAUGUGAUGUAAGUAUAUGCUGUACUGUAAGUAUAUGCUGUAUUGUAGGUGUUUGAUGUAUUGUAGGUGUUUGAUGUAUUGUAAGUAUAUGAUGAUAAUGUAAGUAUAUGCUGUACUGUAAGUAUAUGUUGGAACUGUAAGUAUAUGCUGUGAUGUAAGUUUAUGCUGUACUGUAAGUAUAUGCUGGAACUGUAAGUAUAUGAUGUGCUGUAAGUAUAUGGUGUACUGUAAGUAUAUGCUGUACUGUAAGUAUAUGGUGUACUGUAAGUGUUUGAUGUACUGUAAGUAUAUGAUGGUACUGUAAGUAUAUGAUUACUGUAAGUAUAUGAUCUACUGUAAGUAUAUGCUGUACUGUAAGUAUAUGUUGUACUGUAAAUAUAUGUUGGAACUGUAAAUAUAUGAUGUGCUAUAAGAAUAGGCUGUACUGUAAGUAUAUGAUGUACUGUAAGUAUAUGCUGCACCGUGAGUAUAGGCUUGUAAUGUAAGUAUAUGCUGUACUGUAAGUAUAUGAUGUAUUGUAGGUAUAUGCUGGUACUGUAAGUAUAUGAUGUACUGUAAGUAUAUGCUGGUACUGUAAGCAUAUGCUGCACUGUAAGUACAGGCUGUACUGUUAGUAUAUGCUGUACUUUAAGUAUAUGCGGUACUGUAAGUAUAUGUUUGUACUGUAAGUAUAUGAUUGUACUGUAAGUAUGUGUUGUACUGUAAGUAUAGGCUCUCCUGUAAGUAUAUGUUGCACUGUUCGCAUAGGCUGUACUGUAAGUAUAUCCUGGUACUGUAAGUAUAGGUUGUACUGUAAGUAUAGGCUGUCCUGUAAGUAUAGGCUGUGCUGUAAGUAUAUGCGGUAUUGUAAGUAUACUUUGUACUGUAAGCAUAUGCUGUACUGUAAGUAUAUGCUGUACUGUAAGUAUAGGCUGUCCUGUAAGUAUAUGUUGCACUGUACGCAUAGGCUGUACUGUAAAUUUAUGAUGUACUGUAAGUAUAGGCUGUACUGCAAGUAUAUGAUGUACUGUAAGUAUAGGUGGUACUGUAAGUAUAAUUUGUACUGUAAGUUUAUGUUGUACUGUAAGUAUAGGCUGUGAUGUAAGCAUGUGCUGUGUUGUUAGUAUAUGCUGUACUGUAAGUAUAUGUUGUACUAAGUAUACGUUGUACUGUAAAUAUAUGCUGCACUGUGAGUAUAGGCUGUACUGUAAGUAUAUGUUGUACUGUAAGUAUAUGCUGUACUGCAAGUAAAUGAUGUACUAUGAUUAUAGGCUGGUAAUGUACGCAUUUGAUGUACUCUAAGUGUAGGCUGUAAUGUAAGUAUAAUCUGUACUGUAAAUAUAUGAUGCACUGUGAGUAUAGGUUGUACUGUAGGUAUAUGUUGCACUGUGAGUAUAGGCUGUACUGUAAGUAUAUGCUGUGCUAGAAGUAUAUGUUGUACUGUAAGUAUGUCUGUGUUACAUGUAUUGUGAAAUGAGGUUUAAUGCAGACCUUGUGUUAUCCCCUUUUUGCCAUGGGAAACAGCAGGUACCAUCUUUCAACUACUAGUGUUACUAAACAAUGUGAUACUGAUGAGUAUUGAUAAGGCACUCGGCUCCUUGCAAUGGCCAGCCUGUGUAUAUUCUCAGACUAGUGCGUACACAAAGUGCCACCCUCUUCUGGCCUAACUCUGCAACUCUUUGGUGUCUGCAUACCCAUUUAUCGUUUACGUUUCGGCAUCAAACACGUGUUGUUUCGUUGUGUAUGUUUAAGGUAAUGUUGAUGACGUCAUUGUUCUUUCACACCAGUUUCAGUCACCAUAAUGGUCGCCUCGCUCUUGAUGUGGAUAGGAUCAUUGGUAAUUGCUGCUGAAGCUGGUCAAUGUAAGGAUAACCAACACUGUUCAGACUGUGCCAACACGACGGGACACUGCCUCACUGUGUGUGACUCUGGGUAUUUUGAUCUGAAAUGUUUGUCAGUUUGUGACGGAUAUUGUAAAUAUAACCUGUGUAGUCAGUCAGACGACGGUGGUGGACGUUGUACCGAGGGAUGUAUCCCAGGAUAUCAAGGCAGGAGGUGUAACAUACCAUGUGACAGUCCAGGAAGUAACUGUACAGCAUGCCCAGGUGGUUGUGAUGGAGGAUAUUGUCAGCUGGGCUCCUCCUGUGUGUCUGGAUGUGUAGACUCCUACUUCGGGACAGAUUGUGAACCUGGUAGGUAUUGACUAGGUGGUACAGUGGGACUAGCUGUAGGACUGUCCACAACAGCUGUCAGUUUCAUCGUGUUGAUCUUCCUGGCAGUGUGCUGCAAGUGUAGUAAACACUUGAGGCGAAUUAGUGUCACCCAGGAAGAGCAUGUUGUGCGCGAUUCUGUUGCCGAGAUGGGCGAUGCCCCUGUCUAUGAACUAGAAGGGCAUACUGACAUCCAACAGACAGAGGACGUUGUGCGCGACUCUGGUGCCGAGACGGGCGAUGCCCCUGUCUAUGAACUAGAAUGGUAUACUGACAUCCCACUGAAAGACAUGGCCAUGGAUCGUGAGUCACCUGAUGGGAACUGUGGAGGUGGAGGCGAAGCUGGUGGUGUGGAGGAUGAUGUGUAUGACGUUGCAGAUGGAGGCAAACGGGAUCGUGCUGGUGUUAUCGGCAAUAUCUAUUCCAAAAUAUCCCAUGCUUAGAAAUCAAGUAUUUCUUAAAUAUUGUUUGUUGACUGUU